ensembl:snRNA U1 U1 spliceosomal RNA
AUACUUACCUGGCAGGGGAGAUACCAUGAUCACGAAGGUGGUUUUCCCAGGGCGAGGCUUAUCCAUUGCCCUCCGGAUGUGCUGACCCCUGCGAUUUCCCCAAAUGUGGGAAACUCGACUGCAUACUUUGUGGUAGUGGGGGACUGCAUUCGCGCUCUCCCCUG